GGUGAACGCUGGCGGCGUGGAUUAGGCAUGCAAGUCGAACGGUAUCAUCCUUCGGGGGUGAGAGAGUGGCGAACUGGUGAGUAACACGUAGGUUAUCUACCCUCAAGACGGGGACAACCCAGGGAAACUUGGGCUAAUACCGGAUGUGAGCAACUUUUAGUUGUUUGAAAGGUGGCGUAAGCUGUCGCUUGGGGAUGAGCCUGCGUCCUAUUAGUUAGUUGGUGAGGUAACGGCUCACCUAGGCAAUGAUAGGUAGGCGGCCUUAACGGGUGGUCGCCCACACUGGGAUUGAGAUACGGCCCAGACUCCUACGGGAGGCAGCAGUCGAGAAUAGUCUACAAUGGUCGGAAGACUGAUAGUGCGACGCCGCGUGAACGAUGAAUCCCUUCGGGGUGUAAAGUUCUUUUAUAUGUGAGCAGUGCUUCUUAUAUUAACAGUAUGGGGAGAGAGAUAUUAGCAUAUGAAUAAGCAACGGCUAACUCCGUG
rnacentral:rRNA from 1 species